GUACCUUUGGGGUAAUAAAUUCUUUGGGGUAAUUGAAAAAAAUUCGCCCAAAGGUUUGUACUAAUUUCAACCUGUUAUGUUAAUGUUAUCAUUUUGUGGUUUUAAUAUGAUAUACAGCUAGAUAAUAUCUCCCCAAAACGCUUCCAAACAUUUAAAUCGGACAACUAUUUGAACAAUUAUCGGUUUAUGAAAUAUGACCGUCUGUAAAGUGCAUAUCUAGCUGGAGUUAUAAACGGGCGUUUGGGCUAAUUCGCCUUUUUUGGUUUUCCACCAAAAAAACUGAUAUAUAUCACUUAUAUUAUUAUUUGAGUAAAUUGGUGGGAACUUUCUGCAGUUUUCGAUUAAUUUUCUCCAAGAAAUUGUAAGAAAUAGAAAAAAUAUUCGACAUAUAUAUGAGUAGCACGUCUGAAAUUUCACAUAUAUUCUUUCGAAGAUCUUAUUCGGAACACCUUUGGAUUCAUUCGCUUCGAUUAAAUAGGACAAAAUGGCAGCUUGCAGGGGCCAGCUGAAGGACACCUCUGGGUGCGGGAAUUUUUCGAUACAGUGAAGACCUGUUGGUGAGCUUCUGCUGUUGUUUUUAUCCAAGGGGUUUUUACUCAUCAGAUGCAUGAUUCAGAUCAAUACAGUGGUGUCUGCAUAAAAAAAGUUGAUGGGAGAAUGAUGUUUAUCAAAGGUUGAUGUAAACAAAGAAAAGAAAAUUCAACAGAUGAGGCUUUUUGACAAGAAGUGUUAUUUUGAAAUGAUUUUUAGCCAGCAAAUCAAGGUUAACAGCAUCUAGAGAAAUUUGCACAGCAACAUGGAGGAGAAAAACCAUCAAUCCUUGCAAA